rnacentral:sRNA from 1 species
UUGCUUUUACUGGAGCAACUUUUGAUGCUUCCUUCACCUCCUUGCACACCUUGUCCAGCAUUGCAAGGAAAUCUCUUACUAUCACAAAUAACCGGAGGCCCUCAUCCUUUCCUGCACUUCCAUGGAAAUAGUCGACGGUGUCUUUAACCAAUAACCGCAUUUUCUUCUCUUCCUCCAGCAAGAAAGUAAUAUCAGUCUGAGACUGCUGUACGAAGUGCGUAAGCUUGCGGUGAAACCCACUGUCUUCGUCCAAACUUUUCAUGUCCAUGUUCAAGAAUUCAUUGGUUUUCAUGAGCUUGUGGCCAAGACUUGCUACCGACAUAGUCAAUUGAUCCGCGUCUAGGAUAGCUGCCUUUCUAACAUCUUGAAGUUCAUCUCCUAAGCUGGAGAUAACUUUCAGCCCCAGUUGUUUGUAACCGUCUUCAGUUUGCUCACUUUUGUCACCUAGAUCAUCAGUCUUCACACUGGAAACGCCACUGUUCUGCUCCUUUGCAGCCCGUUCAGCACGGACACCUUCGGAACGAAUGAUUUCCUGAACAACAAAAUGCAAUAGUGUUGUCUUUCCGUCAGUUCCUUUGACAUCAGACAACUUGAGGAGCGUGUCGAGUCUAAAAGCCUGAGCUCCACCACGGAAAGUGCCAACAUUCAUCCGAUUUCCGGUUUUGAGGACAGCUUCUAGUAACUUCAUAAAAAGACGGCUGUUUCUAAGCUCCUGGCAAGCCACCUGAUUGGGAUUGAAAAAGCUUCUUCUGGUAAAUUGGCCAUGAAAAGCAAUGCAUCUAAGCGCUGGAAAAUAUAAGGAAUAUCUAUGAUUACUCUUAAGAAUUGCUCUGCAGGACCAAGUUGAAAGAGUUCCCCACUGUAUAAUCGAAGCCUGAGCUCCUCAUCAUUACUUGGGGACCAUCUUAUUAAGGUCUCACCCACCUUAGCGCCUGGCUUAAGAGGUGGCGGUGGGCGUGUUUUCGAAGAACCAGGCAUGGCUGGCGGUGGCGGGCGAGGUGGGCCAGGGCCAGUAGAUUUUGGUGGUGGCGGUGGAGGUGCAGCUUUUGGAGCAGGAGGUGGUGAAGGUUCUGGGGGAGGAACAGGAGAAGCCUUUAAUGGUGGCAUGGGAGCUUGGGGUGCUGGUGGAGAAAGAAGCUUCGGAAUUGGAGGUGGCAUCACAGGAGG